rnacentral:rRNA from 1 species
CAGCAGCCACGGUAAUACGGAGGGUGCAAGCGUUAAUCGGAAUUACUGGGCGUAAAGCGCACGCAGGCGGUCUGUCAAGUCAGAUGUGAAAUCCCCGGGCUUAACCUGGGAACUGCAUUUGAAACUGGCAGGCUAGAGUCUUGUAGAGGGGGGUAGGAUUCCAGGUGUAGCGGUGAAAUGCGUAGAGAUCUGGAGGAAUACCGGUGGCGAAGGCGGCCCCCUGGACAAAGACUGACGCUCAGGUGCGAAAGCGUGGGGAGCAAACAGGAUUAGAUACCCCGGUAGUCCCUGUCUCUUAUAC